rnacentral:rRNA from 1 species
GAUGAACGCUGGCGGCGUGCUUAACACAUGCAAGUCGAACGAAGCAUUUAAGACAGAUUACUUCGGUUUGAAGUCUUUUAUGACUGAGUGGCGGACGGGUGAGUAACGCGUGGGUAACCUGCCUCAUACAGGGGGAUAGCAGCCGGAAACGGCUGGUAAUACCGCAUAAGCGCACAGUACCACAUGGUACAGUGUGAAAAACUCCGGUGGUAUGAGAUGGACCCGCGUCUGAUUAGCUUGUUGGCGGGGUAACGGCCCACCAAGGCGACGAUCAGUAGCCGACCUGAGAGGGUGACCGGCCACAUUGGGACUGAGACACGGCCCAGACUCCUACGGGAGGCAGCAGUGGGGAAUAUUGCACAAUGGAGGAAACUCUGAUGCAGCGACGCCGCGUGAGUGAAGAAGUAGUUCGCUAUGCAAAGCUCUAUCAGCAGGGAAGAUAGUGACGGUACCUGACUAAGAAGCUCCGGCUAAAUACGUG